CUGGCUCAGGACGAACGCUGGCGGCGUGCCUAACACAUGCAAGUCGAGCGGAGAAUGCAGAAAUGUUUACAUGGAAGCGUUCUUAGCGGCGGACGGGUGAGUAACACGUGGGUAACCUGCCUCAAAGUGGGGGAUAGCCUUCCGAAAGGAAGAUUAAUACCGCAUAAGCCUACAGUGCCGCAUGGCACAGCAGGAAAAGGAGCAAUCCGCUUUGAGAUGGACCCGCGGCGCAUUAGCUAGUUGGUGAGGUAACGGCUCACCAAGGCGACGAUGCGUAGCCGACCUGAGAGGGUGAUCGGCCACAUUGGAACUGAGACACGGUCCAGACUCCUACGGGAGGCAGCAGUGGGGAAUAUUGCACAAUGGGCGAAAGCCUGAUGCAGCAACGCCGCGUGAGUGAUGAAGGCCUUCGGGUCGUAAAGCUCUUUGAUCAGGGAUGAUAAUGACAGUACCUGAAAAACAAGCCACGGCUAACUACGUGCCAGCAGCCGCGGUAAUACGUAGGUGGCGAGCGUUGUCCGGAAUUACUGGGCGUAAAGGAUGCGUAGGUGGAUACUUAAGUGGGAUGUGAAAUCCCCGGGCUCAACCCGGGAACUGCAUUCCAAACUGGGUAUCUAGAG
rnacentral:rRNA from 1 species